GACGAACGCUGGCGGCGUGCUUAACACAUGCAAGUCGAACGGAAAGGCCCUGCUUUUGUGGGGUGCUCGAGUGGCGAACGGGUGAGUAACACGUGAGUAACCUGCCCUUGACUUUGGGAUAACUUCAGGAAACUGGGGCUAAUACCGGAUAGGAGCCCCUGCUGCAUGGUGGGGGUUGGAAAGUUUCGGCGGUUGGGGAUGGACUCGCGGCUUAUCAGCUUGUUGGUGGGGUAGUGGCUUACCAAGGCUUUGACCGGUAGCCGGCCUGUGAGGGUGACCGGCCACAUUGGGACUGAGAUACGGCCCAGACUCCUACGGGAGGCAGCAGUGGGGAAUAUUGCACAAUGGGCGGAAGCCUGAUGCAGCAACGCCGCGUGCGGGAUGACGGCCUUCGGGUUGUAAACCGCUUUCGCCUGUGACGAAGCGUGAGUGACGGUAAUGGGUAAAGAAGCACCGGCUAACUACGUG
rnacentral:rRNA from 1 species